CCUUUAUCGUGUUGAAACUUUACAAUGUGUUUUUCGUGAGUUUCCUCCAGCAGGAUAAGGAAUUUUCUCAAAGUGAUUUUUGCAAUUGUUGCCGUUUUUGUUGUUGGGACAGAAUUGAAAAAGUUUACUAAAUGCGAACUUGCAAAGGAGCUAACAGAAAAAGGGGCCAACACAAGUGAUUUGCCUAAAUGGAUUUGCAUAGCUGAACAAGCAAGUAACUUGAAUUCAAAAAACAGUACUCGUUUUAACACUAUGUAUUUCGUCGGUUUAUACAAGAUAUCGAAUGCUCACUGCUCGACGACCAAUGAAACUAGUGGAACGUGCAAUGUGACGUGCCAAACUCUCCGUCAAGACGACAUUACUGAACAGGUGAAGUGUGCUCUAAAACUGAAGGAAGAGUAUGGAUUCCAGUAUUGGAGUACGAUCUGGAACCGAACAUGCCAAUACAAUAAUUAUACGUUGGAUUGCCCCACAUCUUAAGGGACAAAUAUGUCAUUUUUGUCUUACAGUAAUAACAUAUCUAUGUUUCAACUAUGAAGAAAAAUAUGUAAGCUUAUUGCCUGUCAAACUUUGUUUUCUUACAAAAAAGAAAGUUUUUUUA
rnacentral:misc_RNA from 1 species